rnacentral:misc_RNA from 1 species
CCGCCAGCACUCUGGCGGGCAUGCCUGUCCGAGCGUCAUUUCACCCCUCGAGCCCCGCCUCGGUGUUGGGGGAGCCACGGCCGCCCGCGCGCGCGCCGCCCCCGAAAUGCAGUGGCGACCCCGCCGCGUCCUCCCCUGCGCAGUAGCUCCCAGAGAACCUCG